CGGCGAGUGAAGCGGCACCAGCUCAAAUUUGAAAUCUGGCCCCCUCGGGGUCCGAGUUGUAAUUUGCAGAGGGUGCUUUGGCGUUGGCAGCGGUCUAAGUUCCUUGGAACAGGACAUCGCAGAGGGUGAGAAUCCCGUAUGUGGUCGCAUGCCUCCGCCGUGUAAAGCCCCUUCGACGAGUCGAGUUGUUUGGGAAUGCAGCUCUAAAUGGGAGGUAAAUUUCUUCUAAAGCUAAAUACCGGCCAGAGACCGAUAGCGCACAAGUAGAGUGAUCGAAAGAUGAAAAGCACUUUGGAAAGAGAGUCAAACAGCACGUGAAAUUGUUAAAAGGGAAGCGCUUGCAGCCAGACUUGCCUGUAGUUGCUCACCCGGGCUCCUGCCCGGGGCACUCUUCUGCAGGCAGGCCAGCAUCAGUUUGGGCGGUCGGACAAAGGCCUCUGACACGUACUUCCUUUCGGGGAUGACAUAUAGGGGAGGCGCAAUGCGACCAGCCCGGACUGAGGUCCGCGCAUCUGCUAGGAUGCUGGCGUAAUGGCUGUAAGCGGCCCGUCUUGAAACACGGACCAAGGAGUCUAACAUCUAUGCGAGUGUUUGGGUGUCAAGCCCGAGCGCGUAAUGAAAGUGAACGGAGGUGGGAACCCCUCGGGGCGCACCAUCGACCGAUCCUGAUGUCUUCGGAUGGAUUUGAGUAAGAGCAUAGCUGUUGGGACCCGAAAGAUGGUGAACUAUGCUUGAAUAGGGUGAAGCCAGAGGAAACUCUGGUGGAGGCUCGCAGCGGUUCUGACGUGCAAAUCGAUCGU
rnacentral:rRNA from 1 species